GAUGAACGCUGGCGGUAUGCUUAACACAUGCAAGUCGAACGCAGACUUUCGGGUCUGAGUGGCGGACGGGUGAGUAACGCGUGAGAAACCGGCUUCAGGACGGGGACAACAACGGGAAAUGGUGGCUAAUACCCAAUGUGCCGAUCAGGUGAAAGAUUGAUGGUCUGAAUAUGAGCUCGCGUCUGACUAGCUAGUGGGGGGGGUACGAGCACACCAAGGCGAUGAUCAGUAUCUGGUCUGAGAGGACGAUCAGCCACACUGAGACUGAGACAGGGCCCAGACUUCUGGGGGGGAGAAGUGUGGAAAAUUUUACGAUGGGGGCGAGACCGAGGCAGAGCAGCCCCGUGCGGGAGAACAGGGCUCUGUGGGUAUACAGCUUUUUCCUCAGAGGAAGAGGCAGUGACGGUACCUGAGAAAGCAGCAUCGGCUAACUCCGUG
rnacentral:rRNA from 1 species